GACGUAGGGCGCGAGCGUUGUCCGGAUUUAUUGGGCGUAAAGAGCUCGUAGGCGGCUUGUCGCGUCGAAUGUGAAAGCUCGGGGCUCAACUCCGAGCUUGCAUUCGAUACGGGCAGGCUAGAGUUCGGUAGGGGAGACUGGAAUUCCUGGUGUAGCGGUGAAAUGCGCAGAUAUCAGGAGGAACACCGGUGGCGAAGGCGGGUCUCUGGGCCGAUACUGACGCUGAGGAGCGAAAGCGUGGGGAGCGAACAGG
rnacentral:rRNA from 1 species